GAUGAACGCUGGCUACAGGCUUAACACAUGCAAGUCGAGGGGAAACGACGGGGAAGCUUGCUUCCCCGGGCGUCGACCGGCGCACGGGUGAGUAACGCGUAUCCAACCUGCCUCUGACUGAGGGAUAACCCGUCGAAAGUCGGCCUAAUACCUCAUGGUAUCGUCUGCGGGCAUCCAACGACGAUUAAAGAUUUCAUCGGUCAGGGAUGGGGAUGCGUCUGAUUAGCUUGUUGGCGGGGUAACGGCCCACCAAGGCUACGAUCAGUAGGGGUUCUGAGAGGAAGGUCCCCCACAUUGGAACUGAGACAAGGUCCAAACUCCUACGGGAGGCAGCAGUGAGGAAGAUUGGUCAAUGGGCGAGAGCCUGAACCAGCCAAGUAGCGUGCAGGAAGACGGCCCUAUGGGUUGUAAACUGCUUUUAUGCGGGGAUAAAGUGAGGGACGUGUCCCUCAUUGCAGGUACCGCAUGAAUAAGGACCGGCUAAUUCCGUG
rnacentral:rRNA from 1 species